CAACCUCGCUAUGUGCUCUCCGGACGCUUAACAACUCAACGCCACACUACCUGGCCGCGGUUCUCUCUCGAUCAUCCCUGAUCAUCAAUGACUUACUCCUCGCCGUCUGCAAGCUCAUCUAUUUCGCAGGUUGUUCACUUGUAUCCAACCUGAUUUAUCUUCAAGGGAAUUUGUUGCAUUCUCUUCAUAUUAGAGCUUUGGAAAGGCAGCGUUAGGCAUCUGCAAUAGUGAUCUUGACUGAAGAUAUUCUUAGUGAGGAGAUAUGUAUUGCAAUCUUUGAGUAUUUCAUAAAGUGUUCUAUUCAUUGUUUGAAGUGCUUGAAUACUGCAUCAAUGAUGAGGGGAAGAUUUGAUCCGGCCCAAAAGAAGCGCACAAUUACCAUUAUGUCUGUCUUUGAUUUUAUGACUCUUGUUUUGGUUUCCUCUGCAGAGGUCUUGUUUCAGGUCUAGUGUUUUCAUAUGAAGAUGUAAAUAGGAGGGAAGCAGCCCUCAGCAUAGAGCUUUUAUUUCUCUUCUCGCUGAGCAAGUCCAUAUUGAUUUAACCACAUCACAAUAGCAAUAUUGUGAGCAAGAACAAACAUAUGCUACUUGGACGUUUUGAUGGAUCAUUUUGCAGUAUCUCAUGGAAAGUGGAGCUCAUGGGACUUAUGAACUUGAUCCAAUUUUACAUAAUGGGUGAAGUUAUCCUAUCAUUACACUCCUUAGAUAACAGUCUUGCUUCUAAAGGGGUUCCAAAAACUAAUCUUGACAGGCUGCCACCAAGUCUGCUAUUAUCCAACUGGAGCUUUGUUUCUCACUUAAUUUACUAUUUGUUUUAUAUUUUGAUGGACAACUAUUGUCAUGUUCUAUAAGUAAGAAACGCUUAAAGCAUCUUGUUCUAUUAAAGUUGAGAAGAGGCUAGGGGUUGGUGAUGUUGUAUGUACUUCAGCAGCUUUGGAGCAACAGAUUCUAGCUAUUUUAUAUUAUUAGAACUUAGUAGUUUGUAGCUUAUAAUCCUUCCUUGUAAUAAUUAUGUAUACUGGUUUCUCUCUUCUUCUUUUUAACAGAAAUAAAAACAAAACCAAAAAAAAAACCGAACUAAAUUGUUCAGUUUUGUUUUCAAUUCAA